GUGCUCGCUUCGGCAGCACAUAUGUAAAAUUGGAACGAUACAGACAAAGAUUAGCGUGGCCCCUGUGCAAGGAUGACAUGCAAAUUUGUGAAGUGUUCUAUAUUAAA